CGGGGGGCAGCAGUGGGGAAUAUUGGACAAUGGGCGAAAGCCUGAUCCAGCAAUGCCGCGUGGAUGAAGAAGGUCUUCGGAUUGUAAAGUCCUUUCGGCGGGGACGAUGAUGACGGUACCCGCAGAAGAAGCCCCGGCUAACUUCGUGCCAGCAGCCGCGGUAAUACGAAGGGGGCUAGCGUUGCUCGGAAUGACUGGGCGUAAAGGGCGCGUAGGCGGUUUGAUUAGUUAGGCGUGAAAUUCCUGGGCUCAACCUGGGGGCUGCGCUUAAUACAGUCAGACUAGAGUGUGAAAGAGGGUCGUGGAAUUCCCAGUGUAGAGGUGAAAUUCGUAGAUAUUGGGAAGAACACCGGUGGCGAAGGCGGCGACCUGGUUCAUUACUGACGCUGAGGCGCGAAAGCGUGGGGAGCAAACAGGAUUAGAUACCCCGGU
rnacentral:rRNA from 1 species